GGUUCGAUUAUGGCUCCAGGUGGAACGCUGGCGGGAUGCUACACAUGCAAGUCGAACGGCAGCACGGACUUCGGUCUGGUGGCGAGUGGCGACGGGUGAGUAAUGUAUCGCGGAACGUGCCUAGUAGCGGGGGAUAACUACGCGAAAGCGUAGCUAAUACCACGCCCGCCCUUCGAAGCGGGGGACCUUCGGGCCUCGCACUAUUAGAGCGGCCGAUAUCGGAUUAGCUGGUUGGUGGGGUAACGGCUCACCAGAAGCGACGAUCGUAGCGCUGGUUUGAGAGGACGACCAGCCACACUGGGACGAGACACGGCCCAGACUCCUGCAGGAGGCAGCGGUGAAAUUUUGAACAGUGAAACCACCAGUCCAGCCAUCCGCGUGUGCGAUGAAGGCCUUCGGGUUGUAAAGCACUUUUGGCAGAAAGAAACGGCACGGGAUAAUACCCCGUGCAACUGACGGUACCUGCACCAGAAUAAGCACCGGCUAACUACGUGCACCACUUUAUGCGGUAAUACGUAAGUGCAAGCGUUAAUCGGAAUUACUGGGCGUAAAGCGUGCGCAGGCGGUUCGGAAAGAAAGAUGUGAAAUCCCAGAGCUUAACUUUGGAACUGCAUUUUUAACUACCGAGCUGGAAGUGUAUUAUCAGAGGAGGUGGAAUUCCGCGUGCUUAGGUGAAAUGCGUAGAUAUGCGGAGGAACACCGAUGGCGAAAACAGCCUCCUGGGAUAACACUGACGCUCAUGCACAACCGUGGGAGCAAACGAGUUAGAUACACCCUGGUAGUCCACGCCCUAAACGAUGUCAACUAGCUGUUGGGGCCUUCGGGCCUUGGUAGCGCAGCUAACUUGGCGUAAAGUUGACCGCCUGGGGAAUUACGGUCGCAAGAUUAAAACUCAAAGGAAUUGACGGGGACCCGCACAAGCCGGUGGAUGAUGUGGAUUAAUUCGAUGCAACGCGAAAACCUUACCUACCCUUGACAUGUCUGGAAUCCCGAAGAGAGAUUUGCAGGAGUGCUCGCAAGAGAACCGGAACACAGGUGCUGCGCCCAGCUGUCGUCAGCUCGUAUCAAUGAAUGUUAGGUUAGAUCCCGCAACAGGCGCAACCCUUGUCAUUAGUUGCUACGAAAGAGGGCACUCUAAUGAGACUACGGUGACAAACCGGAGGAAGGUGGGGAUUGACGUCAAGUCCUCAUGGCCCAUAUAGGUGAAUACACGUCAUACAAUGGUCGGGACAGAGGGUCGCCAACCCGCGAGAGGCCAAUCCCAGAAGCCGAUGUAGUCGGAUCGCAGUCUGCAACUCGACUGCGUGAAGUCGAUCGCUAGUAAUCGCGGAUCAGCAUGUCGCGGUGAAUACGUUCCCGGUCUUUACCGUCACCAUGGGGAGUGGGUUUGCAGAAGUAGUUAGCCUAACCGUAAGGGCGGUGCCACGGUAGGAUUCAUGACUGGGGUGAAGUCGUAACAAGGUA
rnacentral:rRNA from 1 species